AUUAGUUGAUGAGUCCCAAAUAGAACGAAACACGCGUCCCGGAU
rnacentral:hammerhead_ribozyme from 1 species